rnacentral:tRNA from 1 species
GUUUCUGUAGUGUAGUGAUUAUCACAUUUGCCUCACGUGCGAAAGGUCCCCAUUUCGAAACCGGGCAGUAACA